CACGUAGGGUGCGAGCGUUGUCCGGAAUUAUUGGGCGUAAAGAGCUCGUAGGCGGUGUGUCGCGUCGGCCGUGAAAACCUGCAGCUUAACUGUGGGCUUGCGGUCGAUACGGGCAUCACUGGAGUUCGGCAGGGGACGACUGGAAUUCCUGGUGUAGCGGUGAAAUGCGCAGAUAUCAGGAGGAACACCGGUGGCGAAGGCGGGUCUCUGGGCCGAUACUGACGCUGAGGAGCGAAAGCGUGGGAGCGAACAGG
rnacentral:rRNA from 1 species